GACGAACGCUGGCGGCGUGCUUAACACAUGCAAGUCGAACGGAAAGGCCCUGCUUUUGUGGUGUGCUCGAGUGGCGAACGGGUGAGUAACACGUGAGUAACCUGCCCUUGACUUUGGUAUAACUUCAGGAAACUGGGGCUAAUACCGGAUAGGAGCUCCUGCUGCAUGGUGGGGGUUGGAAAGUUUCGGCGGUUGGGGAUGGACUCGCGGCUUAUCAGCUUGUUGGUGGGGUAGUGGCUUACCAAGGCUUUGACGGGUAGCCGGCCUGAGAGGGUGACCGGCAACAUGGGGACUGGGAUACGGCCCAGACCCCUACGGGGGGAAGCGGGGGGGAAUAUGGCACAAUGGGGGGAAGCCGGUUGCAGCAACGCGGCGUGCGGGAUGACGGCCUUCGGUUUGAAAACCGCUUUGGCAUGUGACGAAGCGUGAGUGACGGUAAUUGGUAAAGAAGCACCGGCUAACUACGUG
rnacentral:rRNA from 1 species